ensembl:misc_RNA
GCAUUUAUGUAGAUUAGCCUGAUAAAACAGGCUAGGGCUGGUGAAUAUUUGUUCACCAGCCU